UUUCAGUGUUCUUUUUUUAUAGCAUGAACAUUGAUCCCAAUCUACCUUUGGUCAAUUCCCAGGUUCCUGUCUUGUUUGGUCUCUGGCAUAUCCACAUUUAUGCCCCUACACUUUCAUGACUUCUGUGUUUCUCCCUGUGAGCACUGCUGCCAACAGGUGCUGGGGAGAAUGGAAGAAGGAGGAGUAGAAGGACCGAAAAUACUUUAAAGAAUCUAGAAAGACAUCUCUUCUACCUGAGAUGGGAGUUAUGUUUGAUUUCAUUUUUUCAUGUCUCUAAAUUAUGUUUCCUCUUCAAAUCAUGUAGAAUUGCACAUCAUAGAAUAAACUGUACAAAGUGACCAAUGAGAUAGUGACAUGAUAUAGGAGUACAUUAUUACCAUGCAAUUCACAUCUGGAAUCAUCUCGGUGCAAUUUGCAUGAUCUAUGUCACCUAGCCAUGGGUCAUAAAUUCAUUCUUUUGUAACACUUUAAAAAUAGAUAUUCUCAAUAUUUAAUAUAACCAUUUUGAAUGGAUAUGUUGGAAUAUCAAUUCUGAUACUAAUACAAGAAACUUGCAAAUAUGUCCUUUAUUUGAAGGUAUGGGAUAUUUCGUUAAGACUCCUGGAUAGAAUGGGACAUUUUCUCUUUAUUUUUCUAUUUUAUAUCUAGGUAAACUCUUGCUCCAGCAAUGUUUAAGGUACUGUAAAAAUCUAUAACUAGUCCUCAAUUCUCUAGACUACUGACCCUUGACUAUUCAUUAAAUCAAGACUUCAUUC
rnacentral:lncRNA from 1 species